AUUGAACGCUAGCGGGAUGCCUUACACAUGCAAGUCGAACGAGCGGCGGACGGGUGAGUAAUAUAUCGGAACGUGCCCAGUAGCGGGGGAUAACUACUCGAAAGAGUGGCUAAUACCGCAUACCAUGGGAGGGGCCCAUAUGGGAUUAGCUAGUAGGGGGGGUAAAGGCUCACCAAGGCAACGAUCCUUAGCUGGUUUGAGAGGACGACCAACCACAAUGGGACUGAUGCACGGCCCAUGCUCCUACGGGAGGCAACAGGGGGGAAUUUUGGACAAUGGGGUGAACCCUGAUCCAGCCAUCCCGCGUGUAUGAGAAGGCCUUCGGGUUGUAAAGUACUUUUAGCAGGGAAGCGGUGUCUGCAGAAUGAGCACCGGCUAACUACGUGCCAGCAGCCGCGGUAAUUC
rnacentral:rRNA from 1 species